GACGAACGCUGGCGGCGUGCUUAACACAUGCAAGUCGAACGGAAAGGCCCUGCUUUUGUGGGGUGCUCGAGUGGCGAACGGGUGAGUAACACGUGAGUAACCUGCCCUUGACUUUGGGAUAACUUCAGGAAACUGGGGCUAAUACCGGAUAGGAGCUCCUGCUGCAUGGUGGGGGUUGGAAAGCUUCGGCGGUUGGGGAUGGACUCGCGGCUUAUCAGCUUGUUGGUGGGGUAGUGGCUUACCAAGGCUUUGACGGGUAGCCGGCCUGAGAGGGUGACCGGCCACAUUGGGACUGAGAUACGGCCCAGACUCCUACGGGAGGCAGCAGUGGGGAAUAUUGCACAAUGGGCGGAAGCCUGAUGCAGCAACGCCGCGUGCGGGAUGACGGCCUUCGGGUUGUAAACCGCUUUCGCCUGUGACGAAGCGUGAGUGACGGUAAUGGGUAAAGAAGCACCGGCUAAGUACGUG
rnacentral:rRNA from 1 species